rnacentral:rRNA from 1 species
AUUGAACGCUGGCGGCAGGCCUAACACAUGCAAGUCGAACGAGUGGCGGACGGGUGAGUAAUGUCUGGGAAACUGCCCGAUGGAGGGGGCUAACUACUGGAGACGGUAGCUAAUACCGCAUACCAUCGGAGGUGCCCAGAUGGGAUUAGGUUGUAGGUGAGGUAACGGCUCACCUAGGCGACGAUCCCUAGCUGGUCUGAGAGGAUGAUCCGGAACACUUGAACUGGUGCACGGGCCAAACUCCUUCGGGAGGCCGCAGUGGGGAAUAUUGGACCAGGGGCGAAAGCCUGAGCCAGCCAUGCCGCGUGUGGUGAGGAGGUUUUCGGGUUUUAAAGUUCUUUAAGUUGGGAGGCGUUACCAACAGAAUAAGCACCGGCUAACUUCGUGCCAGCAGCCGCGGUAAUUC